UUAAUAUACGAAGCGGAAAUCGAGAGAUUGACAAGGACAUUACAAAAGGAAGCAAAAAGAAAGCUGGAAUUUGAAAAGGCGUCGAGUUCUCAACUGAGCGAAUUGAUCAAGCAAGAGCCCGAUAUGGGAGAAGAGGAUACCCGCAUGCUCAGGGAGAGAAGAACCACAUAAACAUCUGCAGGAAUUCGAUGUGGUUUGUUCGAGCAUGAAACCACCAAUGAUUACGGAAAAGCAAGUAAAACUAUGGGCAUUCCCUUUCUCAUUGAAGGAUGCGGCAAAGGAAUGACUAUUUUUUCUACUGGCGGGACGCAUGACUACUUGGAGGGACAUGAAAAUUUUUUUUUUGGAGAAGUAUUUUCUGGCAUCGCGGGCGGCGACAUUACGGAAGGAAAUUUGUGGAAUCAAGCAACAACAAUGAGUGACAUUACAUGAAUAGCUAGAGAGGUUCGACAGGCUUUGUGCGCGAUGCCCAAAACACCAAAUUACUAACCAAUUUUUGUUCCAAUACUCUUAUGAAGGACUGGGCAUGCGAGACCGGAACAACAUUGAUGCUGCUAGCCAAGGAGCAUUGGCGGAUAAAACCCCGAAAGCUGCAUGGGAGUUGAUCGUAAGGAUGACUAAGAAUUCUCAACAAUUCGGAACCAGAGGAGUUGAAUAUUCGGAAGAUUACGAUUCUCUUCGACAAUAAAUUUCUGAACUAACAAAAGUUGUUCAUCAAUUGGCUGCAGGAAGCACACGCCAUUUGAAAGCUUGUGGAAUUUGCACGAGCCCGGAGCAUGCACCGAUGCAUGCCCUACCCUGCAUAAGGACAGUCAUGCCGAUGUGAAUGCAACCGAUUUCAACCAACUAAGGCGCCCACAAUAUGAUCCCUAUUCAAACACCUACAACCAAGGGUGAAAGGAUCAUCCAAAUCUCAGGUUGGCAAAGCUGAAAAGGCCAAAAAGGGAGAAUGAAGUUUUGGAGAUAUUUCGGAAGGUCGAGCUCAAUAUACCGUUCUUGGAUGCAAUCCACCAAAUUCCAAAGUACGCGAAGUUCUUAAAGAAAUUGUGCACCAACAAGCGGAAGUUGAAGGGUGACAAAUGUAUCAUCAUAAACGAAAAUAUAUCGGCCCUUCUCCAAAGAAAGAUUCCACCAAAGUGCGGAGACCCAGGUAUGUUCACAAUCCCAUGUAAAAUAUGGCAAUUAGAAGUCAAGCAUGCUAUGUUAGAUUUAGGUGCAACAAUUAAUGUCAUGCCAUAUCCCAAAGGAAUUAUAGAGGAUGUUCUUGUCCAAGUCAUUGAAUUAAUUUUCCUGGUUGACUUCUAUAUCCUAGAAAUGCAUGAUGAACAUUCGUCCAACCCAUCACCACUAGUCUUAGGAAGACCUUUAUGUGUACAGCGGAUACUAAGAUGAUGUAAAGAAUGGAAUUUUGACUAUGGAAUUUUAUGGGGAAAAAAUUGAAUCCAAAAUUUUCGAUGCGAUUAAAUAUCCCCUGGAUCCUCACUCUGUUUUCUCGUUAGAUGUUAUUAACCUUGAAGUACAGGAUGCUUUUGAGUUGAGGGGUGACGAUGCGCUCGAAGUAGUACUCAUGAAACACUUGGAGGUUCAAAGCAUGCCUACUUGAGGAUUGAGUCCAGAUUUGUCGGAAGUGAUGCAAGCCUUAGAAGCUACAACUUUAGUUUCACACAGGUAUGCCCAAGCUCCUAUAUUCUUACAUUUAUUGUCUUAGAUUGUGCAGCCACCGGAGUUGGAAUUAAAACCGCUGCCGAGCCAUUUGAUUCAAGUACUAAAAGAACACAAACAAGCAAUAUGAUGGACGAUAGCGGAUAUCAAAGGUAUAAACCCCUUAUUUUGCACGCAUAAGAUCACACUUGACGAUGGCGCAAAGCCGGUGAGGCAGGGACAAAGAAAGUUGAAUUCAAUUAUGACAGAAGUUGUUAAGAAGGAGGUUCUUAAACUCCGGGAUGCAGGAAUCAUAUUUCCUAUUGCUGAUAGUCCUUGGAUAGGUCUAAUCCAAGUUGUUCCUAAGAAGUCCGGGGUAACCGUGGAGACAAAUCAAAAUGGUGAGUUAGUCCCGGUAAGAAAGCAAACUGGUUGGCGACAAUGCAUCGAUUACCGUAAGCUUAAUGCCAUGACAAAGAAAGAACAUUUUUCUCUCCUAUUUAUUGACCAAAUGAUUGAAAGAUUAGCUGAUCGAGCUCACUAUUGUUUUCUAGAUGGAUUUUUAGGAUAUUUUCAAAUUUCCAUUGCCCCGGAAGAUCAAGAGAAAACAUCAUUCACAUGCCCAUUCGGAGUGUUUGCCUAUAGAGGAAUUCCAUUCAGUCUUUGCAAUGCCCCGGCGACAUUUCAAAGCAUUACGAUAUCUAGUGGCGAAAAAGGAAGCGAAACCAAGACUUAUCAGAUGGCUAUUGCUUUUACAGAAAUUCGAUUUGGAGAUUUGGGACAAAAAGGGAUCGGAGAACUUUGUCGCCGAUCAUCUGAGUCGUCUCCCUUGUGCCAACAAUGACAAUUUACAACUAAAGAAGACAACACUGGACAAACAGUUGGCCAAAAGCUAAAAGGGACAAACUCAAAAGCGACGCAAAGUACUACAUCUGGGAUGACCCUUACAUGUGGAAGCGUUGCUCAGAUCAAAUUUUGCGAAGAUACGUGCAAAAAGGGGAGCACCAAUCCAUUAUUCGAUUCUGUCAUACCCUUAAUUGUGGGGGACACUUUGUUUCCCAACGAACGGCAAGGAAAGUUUUGGAUAACGGGUUCUAUUGGCCAACAUUGUUUAAGGAUGCCCACACUUUUUGCAAUUCAUGCAAUAAUUGCCAACGUAUAGGUAAUUUUUCCUCUCGAGCUGAGAUGCCUCAAGUACCAAUUUUAUUUGUUGAAAUUUUUUACGUAUAGGGUAUCGACUUUUUUGGCCCAUUUCCCAUGUCUCAUGGAUUUUCAUAUAUCAUUCUCGCCAUUGAUAAUGUUUCAAAAUGGAUGGAAGCAACAGCCACCCGGACUAACGAUUCUAAAGUGGUUGCAAAGUUUAUUAAGUCUACCAUAUUCACCCGGUUUGGAAUGCCUAGGGCUAUAGUGAGCGAUAAGGGAACCUACUUUUGCAACAAGACCAUGGCUGCUCUCUUCAAGAGGUAUGGUGUGUUGCACAAAGUUUCGACCUCAUACCAUCCUUAGAAAAAUGGUCAAGCGCAGGUAUCGAAUCGAGAAAUCAAGUCUAUUCUUGAAAAGACUGUUCGACCGGAUAGGAAGGACUGGAGUCUCCGCCUCCUAGAUGCACUAUGGGCUUACCGCACCGCUUACAAGACGCCUAUCGGAAUGUCGCCAUAUAGGUUGGUAUUCGGUAAGCCGUGUCAUCUUCCUGUUGAAUUUGAGCACCAUGCUUUUUGGGCAAUAAAAAAAUGCAACAUGAUUAUUGACGAAGCGAGAAUUCAUAGAAAGUUGUAGUUGCAGGAAUUUGAGGAGAUUCAGAAUGAGGCAUAUGAGAGCACCUUGACGUACAAAGCAAAGACAAAAGCCUUUCAUGACCAACAAAUAUGAAGGAAAAUUUUUUAUGUCGGUCAUAAAGUGCUUUUUUAUAAAUUUUAAGCUCAUGCUUUUUCCCGGUAACUUACAUUCCAGAUGAAUUGGCCCUUUUGUUAAUACUAAUGUUUUGCCUUAUGGUGCAGUCGAAAUUCAAAGCUCGAAGACUGAAAAGAAAUUUGUGGUGAAUGACAUCGAUUAAAGCCCUAUCUAAAGAGCGCUGAAGUUGAGGACGUGGUUUGGAUGGCAAGCCUUGAUUCGAGCAUUUAAUUGGCAUUCGAGGAGGUGAUGCGAAUUUUGGUAUGCCUAUGCCGGACGCAAGCAUGCCUAGGCUUAGGGAAGUCUACUGUUUCUUAAACUUCUUACUUUUCGCGAUGCCCUAUAUUGAGGACAAUGUGAAUAGUAGAUGUGGGAGGGGGGAGGGGGUUGAAUAUCUAUUGUUUGCCCGAUUGCAUGACUGACUUGUGUGCUAAAGACUUGCGUGUAUUUCUUUUCAACAUGACGUAUUUUCAUUAGAUGACUUGCCAAUGAAGUAGACGAUAAAUAUGCCGAGCAUGACAUGUUUUAUCCUUCGUGAGAUUUGAGCCUAAUUGAGCAUUCAUUUUAAAUUCUACAUAUUUCUUCUUUGUAUGAUUUUUGAUCUAGACUGGGUUUUCUAGAACUUGCAUAGCAAUGCAUGUCGAAUUUGAUUUCCGAUAAGUCUAUGCGAUUAAUGUGAUAAGGGUAUUAGGGUAAACCAUUUAGCCUGAUAUAUUUCCUACCUAAAAAAUUAAUCAAUUAGUGAGCCUUUUUGAGCUUGAAUAUCCUAUUUUUUAUUGUUUAAAGAGCCACAUUUUAACCUAUGAUCUUUCUUUCUAAAGCCAAAAUUUAUUUGAACCUAUAAUCAAAAGAAAAUGUUUCGAGCUCAUAUUAUUUUAAAGUCUCAAGGGAAUGGGAAGUUAUGUAUAUUUAUUGUUGUUUAUUGCUUAUGAGAGAAAAGUGUAAAAAAAAAAAAAAAAACAUGGCACAAAUUUUCAUCGCAUUAUAGCAGGAAUGGGCAUUUUGACGUUAACUUGUCGGUUGAGUUGGGUGUACUACGGGUUAUCUUGGCGAGCAUUCUUCUUACCUAAAUUGCAAGAAUAAAGUUUUGAGUAUGCAUGUUAAUGAAGGAAUAAGUGAGGAAUGAGAAGUUUUACACGGAGUCUAUAUAUUACAAAAUGAGCUUGAAAUAUUUUUUUUGACUUAUUUAGCCGAAUAAUAUCCUAUAUCCUACCCCAACCUAAAGCCCCGCUACAACCUUAUUUAAAGACCCUUAGAUUAUUUGCAUUAGAAUUUGAAAAAUUAAGAGAUGUGAUCAAUAUGCAAGCCUAUGGGAUAAUCAUUUUUACGAUGCGACACGAAUGACUUGUUAAUUCAUAUAUAUUUGGGUGUUGAGUGUAUACACUUUAUUUCUAGUGAGGUUAUGUUGCGCUUGGUAUGUUUUGAGUUUCAUUAAGGUAAUGAUAAUAUGAAUUUGUUGUGGAGAUUAUGAUUGCAUCAAGUUCUUUCGUGUGCUUGUUUCGUUUAUGCUUGAGGGCAAGCGUGGUUUGGGUGUGGGGGAAUUCAUAAAUAUAUAUUGUUAUAUAUUUUCUAGAGAUAAAUUAUAAGAUUCAAUCAAUAUUUUGGAUCAUACUCAUUUUUGGCAUGUAUUGAUUUGUGCAAGGUAAUUGAGUGAUUCACGUCAAUGCCAUAUUUUCGAUCAAAGAAUUUUGGAAAGACUUGAAUUAAGCUCCCAUGCUAAGGAAAGAUGUGGAUUACGGAAAUUAAAGCUCGAUUGUUGGCAUCAUGAUUAAUAAGGAGCAAUUAAGGGAGUGAUUAAGGAUCCGGUCAUCUAUAAAAGGGGGGCCAAGGCAUUGGAUGUGGUAUCACAAUUCAGGUUCACUUUUCGUAGUGUAAGUGGAGGAUUGAGAAGACCGUUUAGAGAGGAAGCACUUUCGGAUAAUCAUCAACGUUAUUGUUUUAUUUAUUUAUUUAUAAGUAUGAGUAGGUAAAUUCCUAGUCUAGUCUAGGGUUGAAAGUAGAUUUUGGAUUGAGAUUUGUGAGAUUGUGUUUUGAUUUAAUUUAAAUCUUGUUUAAGUAUAUUGAUAUUUGUGUGAUUUA